rnacentral:sRNA from 1 species
CUGGACUCCGGGUUCUUGAAGCUCGGUGAUGCCUUAAGGCCCGGCAGUCGGAGUCGGAGCGCUUCAGGCGAAGUCUUGGGUUCCUGGGGAGGAUCAGGAGGGACCAUACCCAUUGUCCAGGUAUGAAGUCAGGAGAUGCAGGCUGGUGAGGGGAGCAUCUGGGAAACACAACUUGAGCCACAUUUCAGUCGACUGUUCACCCUUCCAGGCUAUUCCCCCAGGAGCAGAAACCCCCAGACCAUUGUUUCAGACCAGACUUUCCAGGUGAGAGACACAGACCACUCUGGACCAAGUUAGGGGGAAGCAGCUUGCAUAGCUUUUGCCCAAAAAAUGAAAGGACUUCCUACCUA